rnacentral:tRNA from 14 species
UGCACGGUGGCGCAGUGGUCAGCACUUUUCGCCUCGCAGCAAAGGGGUUCUGGGUUCGAGUCCCGCUUCGAACAG